AUACGGAGGCUCCGAGCGUUAUCCGGAUUUAUUGGGUUUAAAGGGUGCGCAGGCGGCCAUUUAAGUCAGCGGUUAAAUCGUGGGGCUCAACCCCAUUCUGCCGUUGAUACUGGGUGGCUUGAUUGCGGUCGAGGCUGGCGGAAUUCGUUGUGUAGCGGGGAAAUGCAUAGAUAUGACGAAGAACACCGAUUGCGUAGGCAGCUGACCAGAUCGCAAAUGACGCUCAUGCACGAAAGUGCGGGGAUCGAACAGGAUUAGAUACCCUGGUAGUCCGCACAGUAAACGAUGAAUACUUGUUUUCGGCGAUAUAAUGUCGGAGGCAAAGCGAAAGCGAUAAGUAUUCCACCUGGGGAGUACGCCGGCAACGGUGAAACUCAAAUGAAUUGGCGGGG
rnacentral:rRNA from 1 species